ensembl:lncRNA
AUGCCACAUGUGACGUUCAGAAUUUCUAACCGGCAUGCACUGCUUCAAGUAAGAUUGGGAUUGGACGCACCUAUAAAGUUCAUGUCACUCAUUCUCUGCAAACAACAGAGAAGACUGAACCAGAAAACAAGAAUACGUCUCAUCAGAGCACAAAGCAAAGGAAAAUUCAAUCAAAACCCAAUUUUCAGAGUAAUGGAUCCCAGCCAGUCUUUCAGUCAGCCUCCAGGAGCAUGGGAUUCAUCUGAGAAAUCAGCAAUGUUGCAUCCUUCAGCACCACCACCAGCAGACCAGGACAGUGCUGGAUAUCCUCCCUCCUCAGGGCCGUAUUCAGGAGAAGCUGUGGUUGCUGUACAGCCUGCAGUUUUUGAGAUCGCUACUCCACUGGCCAGUUCAUUGCCAGAUUACUUGGGUUACUCCAUCUUUACCAUGCUGUGCUGCUGUUUUCCUCUGGGCAUUGCUGCGCUGAUUUUCUCCUGCUCUCAGGACACUAAUACAUUUAUACUCGAAACGCCAAUUUCUCAGGACAGCGAGAAUUAGCAGAGAAGAACUCCAAAAUGACACUCAUCCUGAAUCAUGCCUCCCUUGGUGUUGGCCUCGUUUUCAUUGUACUGUUGAUUAUUGUCAAUGUCUUAACUUUACUUAAUAAAAGAUGAUAGAGCUGUCAUGGUUGGAUGCAGAUUACAAACAGAUUUGAUUCUCUGCAUUGUAAAUGCCAUUUGCUCAAUGUAUCAUUAAAGCCUAUGACAUGUGCUUUAAGACUGAUUAUUGCAUGUUUAGACUUUUUUUCUUAUCUUGAGCUGUGCUAAUUAGAUUUUUUUGUAUGUAUAUAAUAAAACUGUAUGUUAAAAAAAAAUCUAAUUAGCUGAUAAAAAGGGUUUUAAAAAUGUGGAUUGGCAGAAAUCUAUCAGAAAUCUGUCAAUCCACAUUUUUUAACCCCUUUUUUUAUCAUGCAUGCAACAUCUUUAUCUGACAGUAAAUAACUACUGUACCUGCCAAUUUAUGAAAAAUUUAUUUCGGGUAACACUUUAUAAUAACUUUAAUAAAUCAUUAACAAACAUUAUAUAAUGCUUAACAGAUCAUUAGUUAAUAUAUAUAUAUAUAUAUAUAGAGAGAGAGAGAGAGAGAGAGAGAGAGAGAGAGAGAGAGAGAGAGAUAUGGCUAGAAACAUGAGAUAAUGUGCUUGUUAAUGUUUACUAAACUUAUUUAACAUUACCUAAAGAUCAACAGAUAGUUCAUUUAAAUUACAAUGCUUACAAAUGUCACUAAACAUUUAAUUCAUAUGAUCAUGCACAUCUUGAAAAUCGACACAUUAUUUUUUUCAGAUGCUUUACAAUGAUAAAAGCUUUUGUUAAUGUACAACACUUUUGCUGUUAUUGAGGUGUGAUAUGGGUAGGUUAGGGUUAGGGUUUGGUAUUAUGGGUUUGUUUAAGGGUUGGAUAAGGGCUCAACAAGUGUAGAGGGGUCAGUUUUUGAUUAUUAAAAGGGAGCAUGGUUCAAUCUGUUUAUAUUACAUUGUUUUGAGAAAUGAACAAGUAUUUUUAUUUGUUUUUUCCUGCUGAUGUAUGAUUCAAGGAAUACCCUGUUUAAUGAUGAAGUAUAUACUAAUAUAAAUGUUGAGGAAAUAAAAAUGUUUUACACCCAAAUUACAUAUAUUAUGUCUUUAAGGAGCAUGUGCAUAAACUUAACUAAACACCCUUUAUACAAACGUUGUUACAGCAGCUAGAAAUCCAAUUCCCAUAAAGGUACUGAGUGAUAAGUAAACAUUUAUAGUUUUACAUUUAGAGUGUUCCUGUAGCUCAAUUGGUCGCGCAUUGUGCUGUUAAGCGCAAGGUUGGGGGUUCGAUUCCCCGGAAACACAUGAUAGGUGAAAAUUGAUAGCCUGAAUGCACUAUAAGUCGCUUUGGAUAAAAGCGUCUGCUAAAUGUACACAUUUUUUACAUUUAUAAACAUGAAUAGUUUCCACUUUAGAUUGGGUACUGCAAAAACAUGAAUAAAUUAUUAAUAAAUUAUUUGUUAAGAUUUGAAAACAGAAGAAGUCAACAAACGAAGACCAAAUAUAUGACCUUUACAGGCUGUGAUUAUGAGUUAAUGAAUAAUACGUUAAUUUUAAUAGUUCAUUGAAUAGUAAAGAGCAUAAAAUUAUUGUUUCAAGUAAAUUUUUCACAACAUUUGUAAAUGUAAAAAAGAGCAUUAGGUAAUUUGUGAAGUGAAGUUUAAUUUGUUUGCU